rnacentral:rRNA from 1 species
GAAAGCUAUUUAGGUAGCGCCUCGGACGAAUACUACUGGGGGUAGAGCACUGUUAAGGCUAGGGGGUCAUCCCGACUUACCAACCCUUUGCAAACUCCGAAUACCAGUAAGUACUAUCCGGGAGACACACGGCGGGUGCUAACGUCCGUCGUGGAGAGGGAAACAACCCAGACCGCCAGCUAAGGUCCCAAAGUAUUGCUAAGUGGGAAACGAUGUGGGAAGGCUCAGACAGCUAGGAUGUUGGCUUAGAAGCAGCCAUCAUUUAAAGAAAGCGUAAUAGCUCACUAGUCGAGUCGGCCUGCGCGGAAGAUGUAACGGGGCUAAGCAAUACACCGAAGCUGCGGCAAUAUCUUUUAGAUAUUGGGUAGGGGAGCGUUCUGUAAGCCGUUGAAGGUGAAUCGUAAGGUUUGCUGGAGGUAUCAGAAGUGCGAAUGCUGACAUGAGUAACGACAAAGGGGGUGAAAAACCUCCUCGCCGGAAGACCAAGGGUUCCUGUCCAACGUUAAUCGGGGCAGGGUGAGUCGACCCCUAAGGUGAGGCCGAAAGGCGUAAUCGAUGGGAAACGGGUUAAUAUUCCCGUACUUCUGACUAUUGCGAUGGGGGGACGGAGAAGGCUAGGUGGGCCAGGCGACGGUUGUCCUGGUUCAAGUGCGUAGGCUUGAGAGUUAGGUAAAUCCGGCUCUCUCUAAGGCUGAGACACGACGUCGAGCUGCUACGGCAGUGAAGUCAUUGAUGCCAUGCUUCCAGGAAAAGCCUCUAAGCUUCAGAUAGUCAGGAAUCGUACCCCAAACCGACACAGGUGGUCGGGUAGAGAAUACCAAGGCGCUUGAGAGAACUCGGGUGAAGGAACUAGGCAAAAUGGUACCGUAACUUCGGGAGAAGGUACGCUCUUGAUGGUGAAGUCCCUCGCGGAUGGAGCUGACGAGAGUCGCAGAUACCAGGUGGCUGCAACUGUUUAUUAAAAACACAGCACUGUGCAAAAUCGCAAGAUGACGUAUACGGUGUGACGCCUGCCCGGUGCCGGAAGGUUAAUUGAUGGGGUUAGCGCAAGCGAAGCUCUUGAUCGAAGCCCCGGUAAACGGCGGCCGUAACUAUAACGGUCCUAAGGUAGCGAAAUUCCUUGUCGGGUAAGUUCCGACCUGCACGAAUGGCGUAAUGAUGGCCACGCUGUCUCCACCCGAGACUCAGUGAAAUUGAAAUCGCUGUGAAGAUGCAGUGUACCCGCGGCUAGACGGAAAGACCCCGUGAACCUUUACUACAGCUUGGCACUGAACAUUGAACCUACAUGUGUAGGAUAGGUGGGAGGCUAUGAAGACGUGACGCCAGUUGCGUUGGAGCCGUCCUUGAAAUACCACCCUUGU